CUCUGUCGUGGGGGAUAACGUAGGGAAACUUACGCUAAUACCGCAUACGACCUACGGGUGAAAGCAGGGGAUCUUCGGACCUUGCGCGAUUGAAUGAGCCGAUGUCGGAUUAGCUAGUUGGGGGGGUAAAGGCCCACCAAGGCGACGAUCCGUAGCUGGUCUGAGAGGAUGAUCAGCCACACUGGAACUGAGACACGGUCCAGACUCCUACGGGAGGCAGCAGUGGGGAAUAUUGGACAAUGGGCGCAAGCCUGAUCCAGCCAUACCGCGUGGGUGAAGAAGGCCUUCGGGUUGUAAAGCCCUUUUGUUGGGAAAGAAAUCCAGCUGGCUAAUACCCGGUUGGGAUGACGGUACCCAAAGAAUAAGCACCGGCUAACUUCGUGCCAGCAGCCGCGGUAAU
rnacentral:rRNA from 1 species